GUACCCGUAGCUCAGCGGUAAAGCGGGAGACUACGUCUCCAGGCCGCUGGAUCGAAUCCAGCCGGGGGCA
rnacentral:tRNA from 1 species